rnacentral:lncRNA from 1 species
GCAGUGAUAAGCACGGGAGGAAAUACUGUAUCAAAAAGGAGCUCACACAACCGAAAGCUUGUGCAAAUUAUUUUUAAUGAUUCUUCUCUGACUGCCCAAUGGGAUGAAGUUUCCAGUGUGAUGUCAUUGGAAACAUUGCUCCUCAGAGCAGUGAAAUUAGCCCGAAAGAAGAGGAACAUGGAGCCUCACUUUCCAAUCAGAACAUUCUGGAAGCAACUUGCCCAAGUACACCCUGUCAGUCCAUUUCCCAGUUGAAGAAUUUCCGCAGGCUGGGAUCUGGGAAGCUGUGGACUGACCCAGAGUUGCCCUAUUAAAUGCAUUUGCGACUUUGAGCUGAAGAAUAUUUGCUGAAAGCUGGAUUACCACUUGGUAGACCACCAGCAGCUGUUGAAAAGCAGUGCAUAAAAGCUUGUUUAUGUCUUUAAUGGCCCACUUAAUUGAUGAAGCAAGUAUGUUCUUCAUAAUAAAAUGCCAAGAAAUAAUCUUAAUACCCCAAUGUAUGCCACCAGUGAAUUAAGAAACAUCUGCUGUAAUGUAAAAG